AGCAGCCGCGGUAAUUCCAGCUCCAAUAGCGUAUAUUAAAGUUGCUGCAGUUAAAAAGCUCGUAGUUGAAUUUCGGGACUAAUAUGUCGGUCGUGCCUCGGUACGUACUGGCUUAUUGGUUUCUCCUUUCUGAAGAACCAUGAUGUCAUUUAUUUGGUGUCGUGGGGAAUCAGGACUGUUACUUUGAAAAAAUUAGAGUGUUUAAAGCAGGCUCACGCUUGAAUACAUUAGCAUGGAAUAAUGAAAUAGGACGUUUGAUUCUAUUUUGUUGGUUUCUAGGAUCGACGUAAUGAUUAAUAGGGAUAGUUGGGGGCAUUAGUAUCCAAUUGUCAGAGGUGAAAUUCUUGGAUUUAUUGAAGACUAACUACUGCGAAAGCAUUUGCCAAGGAUGUUUUCAUUAAUCAAGAACGAAAGUUAGGGGAUCGAAGACGAUCAGAUACCGUCGUAGUCUUAACCAUAAACUAUGCCGACUAGGGAUCGGAUGAUGUUAAUUUUUUAAUGACUCAUUCGGCGCCUUAAC
rnacentral:misc_RNA from 1 species